rnacentral:rRNA from 1 species
AUUGAACGCUGGCGGCAUGCUUUACACAUGCAAGUCGAACGGCAACACGGGGGCAACCCUGGUGGCGAGUGGCGAACGGGUGAGUAAUACAUAGGAACGUAUCCUGAAAUGGGGGAUAGCUCGGCGAAAGCCGGAUUAAUACCGCAUACGAUCUACGGAUGAAAGCAGGGGAUUCGCAAGAACCUUGCGUUUCUGGAGCGGCCUAUGUCUGAUUAGCUAGUUGGCGGGGAAAAGCCCACCAAGGCGACGACGGGUAGCCGGCCUGAGAGGGCGACCGGCCACACUGGGACUGAGACACGGCCCAGACUCCUACGGGAGGCAGCAGUGGGGAAUAUUGCACAAUGGGCGAAAGCCUGAUGCAGCGACGCCGCGUGAGGGAUGACGGCCUCGGUGU